GAAUUCUCAGAAUCAAAAGGAGUUUGUGUUCACCUUAUCAUCCGCAGACAAAUGGUCUUGUUGAAAGAAUGAAUGGGACAAUACAGAGGGCUCUCUGCAAAUUAUUUUAAAAAAAAACCCAAAGAAAUGGGAUAAACAUCUUGAUGCUGUCAUGUUCGGACUGGGGACCAAAAAACAGAUGACCACAAAGUUUUCCCCCAUUUUACAUGAUGUUUGGUCAGUGAGGCAUGAUACCCAUCUGAGGUCCCUGAAUAUUAAAGGAUCGACAACACUGUUGAAGCUGUCAUGGGGAUUGAAGAAAUGACUGAGAGUGUCCUAAAACUUGAUGAAGUUAUUCAAACUACCCUGACCCACACUGCUCAGGUCCAGAAACAAAUGAACAAAAAAGACAAAAAAUCACAAAAAAAUUAAAUUCUCUGUGGGUGACAGGGUGUGGAGGUUGAAUGUUCGGAGCCAGCAGAGAAAAGGAGGAAAACUGGAUCCAGAUUUUCUAGGCCCUUACACUGUUAAAACCAUAGAAGGAAAUAGUUCUGAUCUGGCAGAUGAGAGAGGGGUAAUUUAAAAAAAAAAAUAUUGACCACAUGAGGCUGUAUAUUGAGGAGACUCCACGCAUUCCUCACAAGAUUGUAUCUGGGAUGUCCACAGCAACACCUGUAUCACAAAACAUCUCUCCUGCAUCACCUGCAAAUGUG